GAGCUUGCUUCAUUGCCGGCGACCGGCGCACGGGUGAGUAACGCGUAUCCAACCUUCCGUACACUCAGGGAUAGCCUUUCGAAAGAAAGAUUACUUCCUGAUGGUAUGAUGAGAUUGCAUGAUAGCAUCAUUAAAGAUUCAUCGGUGUACGAUGGGGAUGCGUUCCAUUAGGUAGUAGGCGGGGUAACGGCCCACCUAGCCGACGAUGGAUAGGGGUUCUGAGAGGAAGGUCCCCCACAUUGGAACUGAGACACGGUCCAAACUCCUACGGGAGGCAGCAGUGAGGAAUAUUGGUCAAUGGGCGAGAGCCUGAACCAGCCAAGUAGCGUGAAGGAUGACGGCCCUACGGGUUGUAAACUUCUUUUGUGCGGGAAUAAAGGAGCCUACGUGUAGGCUUUUGCAUGUACCGUAACGAAUAAGCAUCGGCUAACUCCGUGCCAGCAGCCGCGGUAAUACGGAGGAUGCGAGCGUUAUCCGGAUUUAUUGGGUUUAAAGGGAGCGUAGACGGGUUUUUAAGUCAGCUGUGAAAGUUUGGGGCUCAACCUUAAAAUUGCAGUUGAAACUGGAGACCUUGAGUACGGUUGAGGCAGGCGGAAUUCGUGGUGUAGCGGUGAAAUGCUUAGAUAUCACGAAGAACUCCGAUUG
rnacentral:rRNA from 1 species